CCUACGGGAGGCAGCAGUGAGGAAUAUUGGUCAAUGGACGAGAGUCUGAACCAGCCAAGUAGCGUGAAGGAUGACUGCCCUAUGGGUUGUAAGCUUCUUUUAUAUGGGAAUAAAACAGGGUAUGCAUACCCUCUUGUAUGUACCUUCUGCAUAAGGAUAGGCUAACUCCGUGCCAGCAGCCGCGGUAAUACGGAGGAUCCGAGCGUUAUCCGGAUUUAGUGGGUGUAAAGGGAGCGUAGGUGGACUGUUAAGUCAGUUGUGACAGUGUGCGGCUCAACCGUAAAAUUGCAGUUGAAACUGGCAGGCUAGAGUACAGUAGAGGUGGGCGGAAUUCGUGGUGUAGCGGUGAAAUGCUUAGAUAUCACGAAGAACUCCGAUGGCGAAGGCAGCUCACUGGACUGCAACUGACACUGAUGCUCGAAAGUGUGGGGAUCAAACAGGAGUAGAUACCCUUGUAGUC
rnacentral:rRNA from 1 species